rnacentral:rRNA from 1 species
GAAGAAGUUUGGAAAAACUCAUCAUAGAAGGUAAUAAUCCUGUAGUCAAAAUAAUAAUUCUUUAGGUAUGAUCCAGAGUACCACGGGACACGUGAAACCCUGUGGGAAGUAGGAGGGACCACCCUCCAAGGCUAAAUACUACCUAGUGACCGAUAGCGUAUAGUACCGUGAGGGAAAGGUGAAAAGAACCCCGGGAGGGGAGUGAAAUAGAACCUGAAACCCUGCACUUACAAGCUGUGGAAGCACAUUUCUUGUGUGACCGCGUACUUUUUGUAGAACGGGCCAACGAGUUACGUUAAGUAGCAAGGUUAAGCACUUAAGGUGCGGAGCCGUAGCGAAAGCGAGUUUUAACUGAGCGUUCAGUUACUUGACGUAGACCCGAAACCGGGCGACCUACCCAUGAGCAGGAUGAAGCGAAAGUAAAAUUUCGUGGAGGUCCGAACCCACGAGCGUUGAAAAGCUCGGGGAUGACUUGUGGGUAGCGGUGAAAUUCCAAUCGAGCCCGGAGAUAGCUGGUUCUCCCCGAAAUAGCUUUAGGGCUAGCCUCAAGGUGAGAGAUACGGAGGUAGAGCACUGAAUGUCCUAGGGGGUAUUGCACCUACCGAAGACUAUCAAACUCCGAAUGCCGUCAUCUUAUACUUGGGAGUCAGACUGUGGGUGAUAAGAUUCAUAGUCGAAAGGGCAACAGCCCAGAUCGUCAGCUAAGGUCCCUAAAUGUAAGUUAAGUGGUAAAGGAUGUGGGAUUGCACAGACAACCAGGAUGUUGGCUUAGAAGCAGCCACUCAUUCAAAGAGUGCGUAAUAGCUCACUGGUCGAGUGAUCCUGCGCCGAAGAUUUCCGGGGCUAAAACUUACUACCGAAGCUACGGCAUCAGUAAUGAUGGGUAGGGGAGCUUCCCAUACAGGUUGAAGCAUGACCGUAAGGACAUGUGGACAGUAUGGGAGUGAGAAUGUUGGCAUGAGUAGCGAGAUGUGGGUGAGAAUCCCACAGGCCGUAAACCCAAGGUUUCCAGGGGAAGGUUCGUCCGCCCUGGGUUAGUCGGGACCUAAGCUGAGGCCGAAAGGCGUAGGUGAUGGACAACAGGUUGAUAUUCCUGUACUACCGAUAACCGUUUGAGAGAAGGGAUGACACAGUAGGAUAAGCUAAGCACACUGUUGGUUAUGUGUGCCCAAGCAUUGAGGCAGUCAAAGUAGGCAAAUCCGCUUUGAUAAUGCUGGGAUGUGAUGGGGAGCGAAAUUUAGUAGCGAAGUAGCUGAUUUCACACUGUCAAGAAAAGUCUCUAUCGAGGUUAAAGGUACCCGUACCGCAAACCGACACAGGUGGGUGAGGAGAGUAUCCUAAGGCCAGCGAGAGAACUGUUGUUAAGGAACUCGGCAAAAUGACCCCGUAACUUAGGGAUAAGGGGUGCCACCAUCAGGUGGCCGCAGAGAAUAGGCCCAAGCGACUGUUUACCAAAAACAUAGGUUUCUGCUAAGUCGCAAGACGAUGUAUAGGAGCUGACGCCUGCCCGGUGCUGGAA